UACAGAGGGGGCAAGCGUUAUUCGGAAUUAUUGGGCGUAAAGGGCGCGUAGGCGGCUUGGCAAGUGGAUGGUGAAAUCCCUCGGCUUAACCGAGGAACUGCCGUCCAAACUGCUUCGCUUGAGACCGGGAGAGGUGAGUGGAAUUCCCAGUGUAGCGGUGAAAUGCGUAGAUAUUGGGAGGAACACCAGUGGCGAAGGCGGCUCACUGGACUGGUACUGACGCUGAUGCGCGAAAGCGUGGGGAGCAAACAGG
rnacentral:rRNA from 1 species